GAUGAACGCUGGCGGCGUGCCUAAUACAUGCAAGUCGAGCGAACGGACGAGAAGCUUGCUUCUCUGAUGUUAGCGGCGGACGGGUGAGUAACACGUGGAUAACCUACCUAUAAGACUGGGAUAACUUCGGGAAACCGGAGCUAAUACCGGAUAAUAUUUUGAACCGCAUGGUUCAAAAGUGAAAGACGGUCUUGCUGUCACUUAUAGAUGGAUCCGCGCUGCAUUAGCUAGUUGGUAAGGUAACGGCUUACCAAGGCAACGAUGCAUAGCCGACCUGAGAGGGUGAUCGGCCACACUGGAACUGAGACACGGUCCAGACUCCUACGGGAGGCAGCAGUAGGGAAUCUUCCGCAAUGGGCGAAAGCCUGACGGAGCAAAGCCGCGUGAGUGAUGAAGGUAUUCGGAUCGUAAAACUCUGUUAUUAGGGAAGAACAUAUGUGUAAGUAACUGUGAACAUCUUGAAGGAACCUAAUCAGAAAGCAACGGCUAACUACGUG
rnacentral:rRNA from 1 species